GUGCAAAGAGGCAACGUAUGAUCAGAAGUGGCAUGUGAGCCGGCGCAUCAGAUGCUUUCCUGUUCCGUGAUGUGAAAGCCCCAAGACGAAGAGGAACAAAAAAUAAAAAAACGUUUCGAAAGUGGGAUCCAGAGCCAUGUGUUCAGCAUCCGGACGGGAAGAGAAGCAUGUCCAAGCCUGUCAUGCUCAGGAGCCAUGGGCAAAAGGAGAGGUGCCUGAACAGGCUGAGGAAAAGAGGCUCUUGCUGAGUCUUCAGUCUUAAAUGACAGGGUGGGAUUUUGUGAGAAAUCAGGCAGCUGGAAGCCAAAUGUUUAAUAGAAUAGCAAUCUCUUGCACUGUUGAGGAGGGUAAUGAAGAAGAAUGAAAUGGGGGUAGAAAGCAGUCAACUAAUAAAAAG